rnacentral:rRNA from 1 species
GAUGAACGCUGGCGGCGUGCCUAAUACAUGCAAGUCGAGCGAACAGACGAGGAGCUUGCUCCUCUGACGUUAGCGGCGGACGGGUGAGUAACACGUGGAUAACCUACCUAUAAGACUGGGAUAACUUCGGGAAACCGGAGCUAAUACCGGAUAACAUGUUGAACCGCAGGGUUCAACAGUGAAAGACGGUCUUGCUGUCACGUAUAGAUGGAUCCGCGCCGCAUUAGCUAGUUGGUAAGGUAACGGCUUACCAAGGCAACGAUGCGUAGCCGACCUGAGAGGGUGGUCGGCCACACUGGAACUGAGACACGGUCCAGGCUCCUACGGGAGGCAGCAGUAGGGAAUCUUCCGCAAAGGGCGAAAGCCUUACGGAGCAACGCCGCGUGAGUGAAGAAGGUCUUCGGAUCGUAAAACUCUGUUAUUAGGGAAGAACAAAUGUGUAAGUAACUAUGCACGUCUUGACGGUACCUAAUCAGAAAGCCACGGCUAACUACGUG